rnacentral:rRNA from 1 species
AGAUUAAGUUAUUAAGGGCGCACGGUGGAUGCCUUGGCACUAGAAGCCGAUGAAGGACGUUACUAACGACGAUAUGCUUUGGGGAGCUGUAAGUAAGCUUUGAUCCAGAGAUUUCCGAAUGGGGAAACCCAGCAUGAGUUAUGUCAUGUUAUCGAUAUGUGAAUACAUAGCAUAUCAGAAGGCACACCCGGAGAACUGAAACAUCUUAGUACCCGGAGGAAGAGAAAGAAAAUUCGAUUCCCUUAGUAGCGGCGAGCGAAACGGGAAGAGCCCAAACCAACAAGCUUGCUUGUUGGGGUUGUAGGACACUCUAUACGGAGUUACAAAGGACGACAUUAGACGAAUCAUCUGGAAAGAUGAAUCAAAGAAGGUAAUAAUCCUGUAGUCGAAAAUGUUGUCUCUCUUGAGUGGAUCCUGAGUACGACGGAGCACGUGAAAUUCCGUCGGAAUCUGGGAGGACCAUCUCCUAAGGCUAAAUACUCUCUAGUGACCGAUAGUGAACCAGUACCGUGAGGGAAAGGUGAAAAGCACCCCGGAAGGGGAGUGAAAUAGAACCUGAAACCGUGUGCUUACAAGUAGUCAGAGCCCGUUAAUGGGUGAUGGCGUGCCUUUUGUAGAAUGAACCGGCGAGUUACGAUUUGAUGCAAGGUUAAGCAGUAAAUGUGGAGCCGUAGCGAAAGCGAGUCUGAAUAGGGCGUUUAGUAUUUGGUCGUAGACCCGAAACCAGGUGAUCUACCCUUGGUCAGGUUGAAGUUCAGGUAACACUGAAUGGAGGACCGAACCGACUUACGUUGAAAAGUGAGCGGAUGAACUGAGGGUAGCGGAGAAAUUCCAAUCGAACCUGGAGAUAGCUGGUUCUCUCCGAAAUAGCUUUAGGGCUAGCCUCAAGUGAUGAUUAUUGGAGGUAGAGCACUGUUUGGACGAGGGGCCCCUCUCGGGUUACCGAAUUCAGACAAACUCCGAAUGCCAAUUAAUUUAACUUGGGAGUCAGAACAUGGGUGAUAAGGUCCGUGUUCGAAAGGGAAACAGCCCAGACCACCAGCUAAGGUCCCAAAAUAUAUGUUAAGUGGAAAAGGAUGUGGCGUUGCCCAGACAACUAGGAUGUUGGCUUAGAAGCAGCCAUCAUUUAAAGAGUGCGUAAUAGCUCACUAGUCGAGUGACACUGCGCCGAAAAUGUACCGGGGCUAAACAUAUUACCGAAGCUGUGGAUUGUCCUUUGGACAAUGGUAGGAGAGCGUUCUAAGGGCGUUGAAGCAUGAUCGUAAGGACAUGUGGAGCGCUUAGAAGUGAGAAUGCCGGUGUGAGUAGCGAAAGACGGGUGAGAAUCCCGUCCACCGAUUGACUAAGGUUUCCAGAGGAAGGCUCGUCCGCUCUGGGUUAGUCGGGUCCUAAGCUGAGGCCGACAGGCGUAGGCGAUGGAUAACAGGUUGAUAUUCCUGUACCACCUAUAAUCGUUUUAAUCGAUGGGGGGACGCAGUAGGAUAGGCGAAGCGUGCGAUUGGAUUGCACGUCUAAGCAGUAAGGCUGAGUAUUAGGCAAAUCCGGUACUCGUUAAGGCUGAGCUGUGAUGGGGAGAAGACAUUGUGUCUUCGAGUCGUUGAUUUCACACUGCCGAGAAAAGCCUCUAGAUAGAAAAUAGGUGCCCGUACCGCAAACCGACACAGGUAGUCAAGAUGAGAAUUCUAAGGUGAGCGAGCGAACUCUCGUUAAGGAACUCGGCAAAAUGACCCCGUAACUUCGGGAGAAGGGGUGCUCUUUAGGGUUAACGCCCAGAAGAGCCGCAGUGAAUAGGCCCAAGCGACUGUUUAUCAAAAACACAGGUCUCUGCUAAACCGUAAGGUGAUGUAUAGGGGCUGACGCCUGCCCGGUGCUGGAAGGUUAAGAGGAGUGGUUAGCUUCUGCGAAGCUACGAAUCGAAGCCCCAGUAAACGGCGGCCGUAACUAUAACGGUCCUAAGGUAGCGAAAUUCCUUGUCGGGUAAGUUCCGACC